GCAUCAGUGGUUCAGUGGUAGAAAGCUCGCCUGGGCAGCCCAAGUUCGAUUCCCGGCCGAUGCA